UGCUGCCAUGCCCCGCGUAUGACCAGAUUUAGUGCGAUAAUGAGAUGAGGCGAAGCCAUCCUCUUGUCCUGGCGCAGCGGCCGGCAUCCCCACGGCACCUAGGUCGCGCGGCGUAUAGGAGGAGGGAGAAAGAGCAAGUGGUCGCGCGCCGCGGCACGGUGUGGCGAUCAGCGCCUACUCCUGGUGGUGAACGUUAGGUGAAGUGACUCUUGUGAAAGUUAAUAAUGUGCAUCUCUGCCUAGCUAGCAACUUACUGCUGAAUCAGUGAACGGAUAUUUUUGUAGCAUCUUAAUCAAUGGAUGGUUUCUAAGUAUGUAUACUACUUCAGUUCAGAACACUAAAAGUAGAGAACAGUUCUAUGCAUGGUAGAAAUGACAUCUGACAUUCAUAUGCCCUACUGUGUUCCAUAGGAUCGGGAACAAAAAUCAAGUGUUGUUUCUCAACCUCUUGGGUGUAUUCUGUUCCACCCUUGAAGCACCAUCUCCUCCCAAAACACCAAAAAGAUACAUAAUAUUAUAAGAGAGCUCUUCUAUUCAUUAUCCUUUGCCUAUACUUUUUUGUCCGCAGGGUAAAUUCCCUGAUCAUGAUUUCUAUUAAUUCCCUAAUUCAUUUGAUUUUAUUGACUCUCGAAUUAACUGCAUUUAUUGCACAGACCCGCUUGCUCUUGAGUAAGUCAUCAUCUCAGACUUCGUUUGAAUGGGAUUAUGAAGAAGUUACUCUGGACGGUGGUGCUACCACACUCAACAGAUAUGAAUGUACCCUGCUACCCAAAGAUCAAAAGGUGGUCAAUAUUUCAGAUAAUGUUCCCAAGAGUGCACCAAAUGAAGGAUCGAUGAAGGGUACAAGAAGCAAAGAUAAUGCCAGGAACUCAACGACAUCUGAUAGCAAUGGGUGUGCUCCACCUUUGGAGAAAGUUGAUUUUGAGUAAUGCACUGUAUAUCAUUUUCACUUACUCAAGACGGAGUGUCAGUACCAGUACUGCACCACUGUGGGGAAAUGCAUGAUUUCAAGUGACGUUUGCAUUGUUUAAUAAUAGGCUUUGUAUGAAAUUACAAUUAUAUGGAAUGGCUUCUCAAAGAAGUUGUGGGAUCAACUGAACCCACAAUUUCAACCUGGCACUGACACUGACCCCAGACAAUUAUAUUACACACACAAAUAGUCUUGUUUGAGACUUGGAACUCA